GUCUGGACGCGCCGGGUGGAUGCGGGGGGCUCCUGGGAACGGGGCUGGAGCCGAGCUAGCGCUAGGCAGGCGCAAGCGCGCACAGACAAGCCACCCGAGGACCCCCCGCCCCCGGCCACCCGGGGACCCCCGCACAGAAUCGCCUCUGCACCCCCAGCCAUC
rnacentral:other from 1 species